AUGGGUGCUGACCGACCACCUGAACUGGAGUGGCAUGAGAGGGGCAUCCCCAGGGUGCAGGGAGUUCUGAUUUACACAGCUGGGGUUCUCGGCUGGCAGCAGGAAGAAAGUGCUCAAGAGCAAAGUCUCGAGACUGCCUGCAGCUGCGCUGCUGUGCAGGUGGCAGCUGCACAGGGGGAUGCAGGCCCCGUGUCAGUUCCGGCUGGGCUGACUUCUAGAGCUCUGUCUUCAGACCUGCGUGCCACACUGCAGAUGGACCAUGAGGAACUGGGGCUUUUGCAAGAGGACAAACAGGAUGAGGCUGAGAUCAGGAAACCACAUCGUGCUAGGAAUAAAAGCAGGAACCAGAACCCGGGAGAAGGAAAAGCUUCGGGAGUUGUAACAGUAGACCAUCUGGUUGUGCUGUAUAGCAAAAGGGGCAAACACAAGGAGGCAGAGCCACUGUGCCAGCGAGCACUGGAGAUUUGAGAGAAGGUCCUGGUCACUGAUCACCCAGAUGUAGCAAAGCAGCGAAACAUCUUGGUCCUGUUGUGCUAAAACCAGGGCAAGUAUGAGGUGGUGGAAUGCUAUUACCAGCGGGCACUGGCCAUCUAUGAGGGGCAGUUGGGGCCAGACAACCCGAAUGUGGCUCAGACCAAGAGUAAUCUGGCUUCCUGUUACCUGAAGCAGGGCAAGUAUGCGGAGGUGGAGACCCUGUCCAAGGACAUCCUGACCUGAGCACAUGUGAGGAGUUUGGGUCUGUGGAUGAUGACCACAAGCCCAUCUGGAUGCAUGCAGAGGAGUGGGCAGAAAUGAGCUGGAGUUGGCAACAUGAAGAUGCUGCACCCUAUACUGAGUACAGAGGCUGGUACAAGGCUUACAAAGUGAGCAGCUCCACGGCGAAUACCACCCUGAGAAACCUUGGAGCUCUGUAUAGGUGCCAGGGAAAGCUGGAGGCAGCUGAGACCCUGGAGGAGUGUGCCCUGCGUUCCCAGAAGCAGGGCACAGACCCUAUCAGCCAAACCAAGGUAGCAGAGUUGCCUGGGGAAGGAGAUGGGAAAAGGACUUCCCAGAGGGGCCUGGGGACAGCGUGAAAUUUGAUGGCGGUGACGAGGCUGCUGUGGCUGUGGAGUGGUCAGGGGAUGGCAGUGGGACUCUGCAGAGGAACAACUCUCUGGGCAAGAUCUGAGAUGUGCUCUGCAGAAGCAGUGAGCUCCUGGUGCACAAGUUCCAGGGGACUGAGCCUCGGUCCUCUAGAAGCAACAUGAAGCAGGCAGCCUUCUUGAACUACCUGAAGCAACCCAGUGCUGCACCCCUCCAGGUAUCUCAGGGCCUCAGUGCCAGCACCAUGGACCUUUCUUCAAGCAGCUGA